rnacentral:rRNA from 1 species
AGUGAACGCUGGCGGUAGGCCUAACACACGCAAGUCGAACGGCAGCACAGAGGAGUUUGCUCCUUGGGUGGCGAGUGGCGGACGGGUGAGGAAUACAUCGGAAUCUACUCUGUCGUGGGGGAUAACGUAGGGAAACUUACGCUAAUACCGCAUACGACCUACGGGUGAAAGCAGGGGAUCUUCGGACCUUGCGCGAUUGAAUGAGCCGCUGUCGGAUUAGCUAGUUGGCGGGGUAAAGGCCCACCAAGGCGACGAUCCGUAGCUGGUCUGAGAGGAUGAUCAGCCACACUGGAACUGAGACACGGUCCAGACUCCUACGGGAGGCAGCAGUGGGGAAUAUUGGACAAUGGGCGCAAGCCUGAUCCAGUCAUACCGCGUGGGUGAAGAAGGCCUUCGGGUUGUAAAGCCCUUUUGUUGGGAAAGAAAUCCAUCUGGUUAAUACCCGGGUGGGAUGACGGUACCCAAAGAAUAAGCACCGGCUAACUUCGUGCCAGCCGCCGCAGUAA